CUGCCAUCUGCGGACAGAAAGGCAUGUUAUGGAGACAUGGAACACAAAGCGUCUGCACCCAGUUUUGUCUUUGGGAACAUGGCCAGUGUCUGGGAUCAGGUGCGAGGAGUCUCCCCCCUUCCACAGGCACAACUUAAUUAGUUAAUUAAUUAAAGGUUAAUAAAGGUUAAUCAGGACCCUCAGAAAUGCAGUUGUACCACUCACAGCAUUUUCUUACAUCUUUUCCUAUUACCCUACCAUUACUAUGAAAAAAAUACCUGAUAUUCAGGCUGUCUCUCACUCUGUGUGGAAGAAGGUAAAUGACAUUGUGGCACAAAAGCUGGAACUGAUGCCUGUAUUAUCAGUCUCAUUAAAAGGUACAUGUUUCAAAUAAUAUCCUCCAUCAGAGGUUUGCAGUUUUGCUCCAUACUGCAUUCUGGAGAAGUACCUCAGAAUAAGCAACAGGAUUACAUCCAAAACCUGUUCAGUAUAAGAUGAUGAGCUAUGAGGGAAGAAUGUGUUUCAACGGACAGAAGAGGAAGAGGGGUCUCUGUAACCUCCUGAGAGCUCUGCCUUCCUCCCCACCCCAUUGGAGGUAGGAAAAACCCUGGAUCCACCUGAUCGUGUGUCCGCAGCUGGUGUUUGUGGUAACUCUUGUCCUUGGUUCAGGUCAUGUUC